rnacentral:lncRNA from 1 species
UAUUAUUGUUAUUAUUGUUAUUAUUGUCAUUACUAUAUGCAUUCAUUUUAUUAUCUUUUGUUUCUUUUUUAUGAUUUUUGUUGUAACUACUACUAGCAUCAUCAUCAGUGCCAUAUAUUUUAUUGUAAUUUCCUUUGCUAUUUUUGUUACUAUUUUUACCAUAACUAUUACUUUUAUUACUUUUAUUACUUUUAUUACUGUUACUACUAUCACUAUUAUAUCCAUUAUUUACUUUACAAGUUUUUUUAUUAUGCAUAGGUUUGUUAUUAAUAAUACUAUAUUUUGUAUGUAUUUCUUUUUUAUCAUUUUUUUUUUUAUUACUCGAAUGGAAUCGAGUUUUCGUAUUCUUACUAUUCCUAUUAUUACUCAGUUGUGAAAAAUGAGUAAAAGGAUUUUUAUCAUUAUAUUCCUCCCUUCCAUUUUUUAUGUUGUUAUUCAUUUUUUCAUUAACAAAAUUCAGAUUAAGCAUGUUAUGAAUAUUUUUACUAUUUUCGUUAUUGCUAUUUUUUUCGUUAUUGCUAUUUUUUUCGUUGUUGCUACUUUUUUUCGUUGUUGCUACUUUUUUCGUUGUUGCUACUUUUUUCGUUACUACUACUAUUGCUACUGUUACUACUACUACUCAUGCUUGUGCUUUCAUAAAGUUUAUCAUUGUUGUUUAUAUCAUAGUUAUCUUUUUUUAAUACUACAUUUCGUUUAUCUUUUUCAUUUUUUGCAUUGUUUGCUUCUGUUAUAUUAUUCACAAAAUUAACAUGACAUAAAUCGACAUUACCGCCCUUGCUAUCUUUAUUAUUGUCGUUUUCGUUUUUAUUGUUAUUAUUUCCAGUGUUAUUAAUUCCAGUGUUAUUAUUUCCAGUGUUAUUUUUACCAGUGUUAUUUUUACCAGUGUUAUUUUUACCAGUGUUAUCGUUUUUAUCAAUAUCAACUGUUUUGGGUUCCACACUUGUUUUAACAGUAUCAACAUCUUUUUUAUUUUUUUCAGUUUCUUCUUUAUUAUUAUUAUUACUAUGAAUAUGACUAUGGUUCAUAAUGUUCGUACUUUUAUUCUUAUUUAUAUUUUCGUUACCAUUUAUAACAAAAUCACUUAAGUUAGUAUUCAUACCGUCUGUACUCAUAACAGCUGUAAAAACAUGUCUACCUCCUACUGCUGUGUUACUAUUAGUUGUGCUACUAUUGGUUGUGCUACUAUUAGUUGUAGUACUAUUAGUUGUGCUACUAUUAUUAGUAGUACUAUUACCAGUUAUAAUAUUAGGAACUAUACCAGGGGGUACAAUGUUAGGAACUACACCUGGAGUUACAUUGUUUGCUGCGGCAUUUGCUGCUGCUGUAGCCGCUGCUGUUGCAGCUCCAUAAAUAAAAUUUGGGCUUAUAUUAAUUUGACUCA